rnacentral:rRNA from 1 species
UACGAAGGGGGCUAGCGUUGCUCGGAAUCACUGGGCGUAAAGCGCACGUAGGCGGCUUUUUAAGUCAGGGGUGAAAUCCUGGAGCUCAACUCCAGAACUGCCUUUGAUACUGAGAAGCUUGAGUCCGGGAGAGGUGAGUGGAACUGCGAGUGUAGAGGUGAAAUGCGUAGAUAUCUGCAGGAACACCCGUGGCGAAGGCGGCUGACUGGAUCGCAACUGACGCUGAGGAACGAAAGCUAGGGGAGCAAACAGG